rnacentral:rRNA from 1 species
GAUGAACGCUGGCGGCGUGCAUAACACAUUCAAGUCGAACGGGGCAGCAAUGCCUAGUGGCGGACGGGUGAGUAACGCGUGAGCAACCUGCCUGUGUGAGGGGGACAACAGCCGGAAACAGCUGCUAAUACCGCAUGAAGUAUUCGAAUCGCAUGGUUUGAAUACCAAAGAUUUAUCGCACACAGAUGGGCUCGCGUCCGAUUAGCUAGAUGGUGAGGUAACGGCUCACCAUGGCGACGAUCGGUAGCCGGACUGAGAGGUUGAACGGCCACAUUGGAACUGAGAUACGGUCCAGACUCCUACGGGAGGCAGCAGUGGGGAAUAUUGGGCAAUGGGCGAAAGCCUGACCCAGCGACGCCGCGUGAAGGAAGACGGUCUUCGGACUGUAAACUUCAAACAACAGGGAAGAAACAAAUGACUGUACCUGUUAGGAAGCCACGGCUAACUACGUGCCAGCCGCCGCGGUAAUAC